rnacentral:rRNA from 1 species
GACGAACGCUGGCGGCGUGCUUAACACAUGCAAGUCGAACGAAGUGGCGAACGGGUGAGUAACGCGUAAUCAACCUGCCCUUCAGAGGGGGACAACAGUUGGAAACGACUGCUAAUACCGCAUACUGUAGGAGGGGAUUGCGUCUGAUUAGCUAGUUGGAGGGGUAACGGGCCACCAAGGCGAUGAUCAGUAACCGGCCUGUGGGGAUGAACGGCCACAUGGGGACGGUGACACCGCCCAGAAUCCUACGGGAGGCAGCAGGGGGGAAUCUUCCGCAAUGGACGAAAGUGUGACGGAGCAACGCCGCGGGAGUGAUGACGGCCUGCGGGUUGGAAAGCUCUGUUAGUCGGGACGCGGUACCGGAAUAGAAAGCCACGGCUAACUACGUGCCAGCAGCCGCGGUAAUUC